UACGAAGGGGGGCUAGCGUUGCUCGGAAUUACUGGGCGUAAAGGGCGCGUAGGCGGGUCGUUAAGUUAGAGGUGAAAAGCCCAGGGCUCAACCCUGGAAUUGCCUUUGAUACUGGCGGCCUUGAGUAUGGCAGAGGUGUGUGGAACUCCGAGUGUAGAGGUGAAAUUCGUAGAUAUUCGGAAGAACACCAGUGGCGAAGGCGACACACUGGGCCAUUACUGACGCUGAGGCGCGAAAGCGUGGGGAGCAAACAGGG
rnacentral:rRNA from 1 species